CUUGUGGUUAACAGCCACACGCUCUAACCAACUGAGCUAUUCCAGCAGUCGAGUGGGGUAGUCUCUUACUAAUAUGAAAUCUAUCAGGAAUUUAGUGAGCUAUUCCACCGCCUAUUUGAGAAUUGAGAGGCUUGGGUUUAGGGUUGGUUUGGAUUUUUGUCCGUCGGAUUUAAAAUUCUCUGAACUUUCGAUUCACUGGGGUUGAACCAUGUUGUGGACGUUUCGGAGUUUCUCUUUUCUAGGUGCGAAUCGUGCCUGGGCUUCGUCGUUGUUAAUUUUGGUGAUGGUAAAUUCCGAGUGAAAUUAUGUUUUCUGUUACCGCCGAAUUGACCUUGGAUGGGCAUAUCUGAAUCUUGGGAUCUGCCGUCACGUUGUCGCAUUGUGCUUUUUAUUUAGGAUUAUGCAUGCGAGAAAGUGAGAUAGAAAGCAGUGUGGUAUUUUAGCGUUACUCGUGAUACUAUAAAUAAUAAGCUGUAACAGUUUCUCAUUGUGCAUGGCACACUAAUGAUAGAUCAUAAAAUUGAAUUUUGAUGGUCUCCUCUUUCUAGUGCCAGAUGUUUAUCACAAUAAGCACCUGCGCUGAUUGAGAGUAUAAUCUGCUAUUAAUCUCCUAUCUUAAUGUUAUGGGUGUUUCAGUGUGGAAGUUGAUCUGGCAGAAAUUAGAAUAUGAAGAUGCGCCUUUUCACUUGGAAAAACUAAACCAUGUAUUUGCUGAGCAGAAACGCAGCUUAAUUCGUAUUUAGACUCCCAUAGCAAGUUCAUUUGCUUGAAGCUUGUCCUUUGUUCGUUGGCUUCCCUGUGUAUGUUACCGUGGUAAGUUCUUUUCAGAACCCCGUUUGUUAUUAUUUAGAGUUUGAGGGAAUUUAAUGUUUCCAGAUCUGGGUUUACAAGAGCUGCUGAAGCAAGUUUAUGAAAGGACAAUUUGCUUAAAAUGUGUUAGAAUAGACAUUCAUUUAGGACGACCACAUCAGCAAUAUGCCAACAGGUUGUAAGUUAAAAUCAGAAGACUAAAGACUUAAGCCAUAUAGUAGCAAUGUUCAAAUUUUCCUCCGAGGUAUGUGGGAAUGCAUUUUGUUAGACACGUGAUGAAUCUAUCGUUCAUAUUUUUAUUUUGCAAUCUAGUAGCAAUCUAGUUCACCUCUCCUUACUCCUUCAGAGUUGACCAAAGGCAUCCUAAAAAUAUCUGACAGUGGUUACAGAUUAGGUUUGCUUGAUUGGAUUGGAUGGGAUUCCUGUAGAAUGUGAAGAUUAUACCACUCAUUCUCCACAUCUAUAGCAAAUUUGGUAUUCCUAGAAUAAGCCAAUAUUUCAAAGUAAGCAGAGUUUCCUGUUGGAUGUUUUGAAUAUGGCUUGCCAAUGCGUCCUAAAUCUAAUAAUGCCCUUUUUACUUCUGAUCACCCUGUCUAUGGAAUCAGUUCAACUUAUCUUAAGAGAUCCUUUAAAUUUUCCCUUUUCUGUAAGUUUUUACAGCAUUUUCUAAGCACUAACUGUUCAGAGAGAAGGAAAGAUAGCUUCAUCUAUGUAUAAAUAUCAGAUCCUAUCAUGGGCUAUGUAGAUAAUAUUGAAGGGAUUCAGCUAAUGGGUCUGGGGCCGGGUUCUCACAAACUAGUGGGAGGAUUUUUUGUUAAAUGCAGGUCCUUUGUUAGGAUGAGUAGAUCAAGCAAAACAAGGAACGAGUUGCUAAUUUCAAUGUGUUGACUUUAGCUUCUAAUACGUUGGGAUGUAGAAGCUAUUGAUUUGUUUUCAAAGACAAAUUAGUUCAUUAUUUGGGUAGUGGGUAUUUUUAUGUUUGACUUUAUCUUGAUAAUUUUUCUCCUCUUGCAAGUCUUUUAUUUA